GAUGAACGCUGGCGGCGUGCCUAAUACAUGCAAGUCGAGCGAAGCGGGGACGGGUGAGUAACACGUGGAUAACCUCCUAUACGACUGGGAUCACUUCGGGAAACCUGAGCUAAACCCGCUACUUCUAUAUUGCUCCUCUCUGCAUUAGCUAGUUGGUAAGGUAAAGGCUUACCAAGGCAACGCUGCAUAGCCGACCUGAGAGGGUGAUCGGCAACACUGGAAAUUAGACACGGUCCAGACUCCUACGGGAGGAAGCAGUAGGGAAUCUUCCGCAAUGGGCGAAAGCCUGACGGAGCAACGACGCGUGAGUGAUGAAGGGCUUCGGAUCGUAAAACUCUGUUAUUAGGGAAGCGGUACCUAAUCAGAAAGCCACGGCUAACUACGUGCCAGCAGCCGCGGUAAUAC
rnacentral:rRNA from 1 species